CCGUGUGGCAAGACGCUGCGGU
rnacentral:misc_RNA from 1 species